AAAGACAAAAACCCUGGGUUUCCGUGUCCAACGUUUGACCGUCCAUCUUAUUUGAAAAAAAAAUAUGAAAAAAUUAAAAAGACAAGUCACGCAUAAUAAUCAUGUUUUAUCAUCUAACAACAAUGAAAAUACUAAUUAAAAAAAAUUUCAUACAAGACAGACAGUCAAACGUCAGAUACGGAAACUCAGAGUUUGUCUGUUU
rfam:Oryza sativa Japonica Group DNA, chromosome 1, cultivar: Nipponbare, complete sequence.